rnacentral:rRNA from 1 species
AUUGAACGCUGGCGGCAGGCCUAACACAUGCAAGUCGAGCGGAUGAAGGGAGCUUGCUCCUGGAUUCAGCGGCGGACGGGUGAGUAAUGCCUAGGAAUCUGCCUGGUAGUGGGGGAUAACGUCCGGAAACGGGCGCUAAUACCGCAUACGUCCUGAGGGAGAAAGUGGGGGAUCUUCGGACCUCACGCUAUCAGAUGAGCCUAGGUCGGAUUAGCUAGUUGGUGGGGUAAAGGCCUACCAAGGCGACGAUCCGUAACUGGUCUGAGAGGACGAUCAGUCACACUGGAACUGAGACACGGUCCAGACUCCUACGGGAGGCAGCAGUGGGGAAUAUUGGACAAUGGGCGAAAGCCUGAUCCAGCCAUGCCGCGUGUGUGAAGAAGGUCUUCGGAUUGUAAAGCACUUUAAGUUGGGAGGAAGGGCAGUAAGUUAAUACCUUGCCGUUUUGACGUUACCAACAGAAUAAGCACCGGCUAACUUCGUG